rnacentral:rRNA from 1 species
GAUGAACGCUAGCUACAGGCUUAACACAUGCAAGUCGAGGGGUAGCAGGGUAGCAAUACCGCUGACGACCGGCGCACGGGUGAGUAACACGUAUCCAACCUUCCCACAACUCAGGAAUAGCCUUUCGAAAGAAAGAUUAAUACCUGAUAGUACUUUUUUAAGGCAUCUUAGAAAAGUUAAAGAUUAAUCGGUUAUGGAUGGGGAUGCGUUCCAUUAGAUAGUUGGUGAGGUAACGGCUCACCAAGUCCUCGAUGGAUAGGGGUUCUGAGAGGAAGGUCCCCCACAUUGGUACUGAGACACGGACCAAACUCCUACGGGAGGCAGCAGUGAGGAAUAUUGGUCAAUGGGCGAGAGCCUGAACCAGCCAAGUAGCGUGAAGGAUGAAGGUCCUAUGGAUUGUAAACUUCUUUUAUAGUAGAAUAAAGUGAACCACGUGUGGUUUUUUGUAUGUAUACUAUGAAUAAGGAUCGGCUAACUCCGUGCCAGCCGCCGCGGUAAGAC